rnacentral:rRNA from 1 species
UGGGGAAUAUUGCACAAUGGGCGCAAGCCUGAUGCAGCCAUGCCGCGUGUGUGAAGAAGGCCUUCGGGUUGUAAAGCACUUUCAGCGGGGAGGAAGGCGAUAAGGUUAAUAACCUUGUCGAUUGACGUUACCCGCAGAAGAAGCACCGGCUAACUCCGUGCCAGCAGCCGCGGUAAUACGGAGGGUGCAAGCGUUAAUCGGAAUUACUGGGCGUAAAGCGCACGCAGGCGGUCUGUCAAGUCGGAUGUGAAAUCCCCGGGCUCAACCUGGGAAAUGCAUUCGAAACUGGCAGGGUAGAGUCUUGUAGAGGGGGGUAGAAUUCCAGGUGUAGCGGUGAAAUGCGUAGAGAUCUGGAGGAAUACCGGUGGCGAAGGCGGCCCCCUGGACAAAGACUGACGCUCAGGUGCGAAAGCGUGGGGAGCAAACAGG